rnacentral:rRNA from 1 species
CGAGACCUUCGGGUCUAGCGGCGGACGGGUUAGUAACGCGUGGGAACGUGCCCUUCUCUGCGGAAUAGCCACUGGAAACGGUGAGUAAUACCGCAUACGCCCUUCGGGGGAAAGAUUUAUCGGAGAAGGAUCGGCCCGCGUUAGAUUAGAUAGUUGGUGGGGUAACGGCCUACCAAGUCUACGAUCUAUAGCUGGUUUUAGAGGAUGAUCAGCAACACUGGGACUGAGACACGGCCCAGACUCCUACGGGAGGCAGCAGUGGGGAAUCUUAGACAAUGGGCGCAAGCCUGAUCUAGCCAUGCCGCGUGUGUGAUGAAGGUCUUAGGAUCGUAAAGCACUUUCGCCAGGGAUGAUAAUGACAGUACCUGGUAAAGAAACCCCGGCUAACUCCGUGCCAGCAGCCGCGGUAAUACGGAGGGGGUUAGCGUUGUUCGGAAUUACUGGGCGUAAAGCGCGCGUAGGCGGAUUGGAAAGUUGGGGGUGAAAUCCCGGGGCUCAACCCCGGAACUGCCUCCAAAACUAUCAGUCUAGAGUUCGAGAGAGGUGAGUGGAAUUCCAAGUGUAGAGGUGAAAUUCGUAGAUAUUUGGAGGAACACCAGUGGCGAAGGCGGCUCACUGGCUCGAUACUGACGCUGAGGUGCGAAAGUGUGGGGAGCAAACAGGAUUAGAUACCCUGGUAGUCCACACCGUAAACGAUGAAUGCCAGUCGUCGGGCAGUAUACUGUUCGGUGACACACCUAACGGAUUAAGCAUUCCGCCUGGCGAGUACGGUCGCAAGAUUAAAACUCAAAGGAAUUGAC